AAAAGAUUGUAGCACCUUCCCAGCCACCCUGCUUGGGGCUUAACUGAGCAAGGAAUCGCCCUGCCGGACUGGCCCCGGGUGGCCCCGAGGAGCAGCUCGUCCUCUCCUGAGCUGCGAGGGAGCAUUUUGGGUUUGUAUCACCACGUUUGAAGGCUUCUGUGUUUGCCUCCUGUCCCUCGCAGCUGCCCCCCGCCCUGGACCAGUACAAGAGCACGUAUCGGAAGGAUUUCGGCUGGCACGAAGAUUACCACUCCCCCAUCCAGGCGCACGUACCGGUACCGUGCUCUUCUCCUGCCCCCCAUCCCCAUCCCCAUCCCCAUCCCAGCUGCCCUCGGCCCGGCUGGGGACGGGGAUAACGCCAGAGGGGCACAGGAGUGGGCUCUGCUGCCCUGCCUGGUCGCCACCAGCAGCUCCCAGCUCGCCCGGACGCCCCCGGCUUGUGCCCCCAUCCCUCCUGCGGAAAUCCCCGUGAGGCUGCUGGUGGGGAGCGAUGCUAAUUACGCUCAUUAAGUCAGGGCACUAACGAGUGCUCGCUGAAGCCGUGCCCGAGCCUUGCCCCCCGCUGGCUGGCCGUGGGGCUGGUGGGCGAUCAGGAUCGGACCCAUCCCGGGACUGCGUUCGGGAUGGAGAUGGCUCCGUGCCCCGACACGGGCUUGGGAAGACUUCUGUGGGGAAGCUGGGGGGUGUUGGCACUGAGGGAACUGCCAACUUCAGACUUGCUCACCUACCAGCAAUAUGCCCAGGAUUUGUACCACGAAAGGCAGUACAACGCUGAACAAAACAAGGACCACAACCUGAGAUCAUCUGUUUUAGUGCCAGACUCCUCCGACCUUGAGUGGAAAAGUGUCUACAAGCAAGAUUACCAGCGCCAGAAAAGAAUCCCUAGUGGGCUCUACACAGAGGAGAUAAGACCUUCUCCUGUUUUCCCAGAGGAAAACCGCUUCAAUGAGUAAGGGAGAAGUGGGAUGGGGAGGAGAGGGUGGCUGCUGGGAGUGGGGGACAGGGUAGGAGUGGGUCAGGGAGGCUUUGGAGCUGCUUGGAAUUGGAAGGUGUUUCUCAAGUAUAUUUCUCCUUGUCCAUGUUAUGCAAUGAGCCCAAAG
rnacentral:lncRNA from 12 species